rnacentral:lncRNA from 10 species
UUUUUUUUAAACAGGGCCUUACUCUGUUACCCAGGCCGGAGUGUAGUGUCAUGAUCUCAACUCACUGCAACCUCCACCUCCUGGGCUCAAGCAAUCCUCCCAACAUAGCCUUCUGAGUAGCUGGAACUACAGGCACGCGCCACCAUGCCCAGCUAAUUUUUGUAUAAUUUGUAGAGAUGGGAUUUCACCGCAUUGCCCAGGCUGGUCUUUAACUCC